GACGAACGCUGGCGGCGUGCUUAACACAUGCAAGUCGAACGGAAAGGCCCUGCUUUUGUGGGGUGCUCGAGUGGCGAACGGGUGAGUAACACGUGAGUAACCUGCCCUUGACUUUGGGAUAACUUCAGGAAACUGGGGCUAAUACCGGAUAGGAGCUCCUGCUGCAUGGUGGGGGUUGGAAAGUUUCGGCGGUUGGGGAUGGACUCGCGGCUUAUCAGCUUGUUGGUGGGGUAGUGGCUUACCAAGGCUUUGACGGGUAGCCGGCCUGAGAGGGUUACCGGCGACAUUGGGACUGCGAUACGGCCCAGACUCCUAGGGGAGGCAGCGGUGGGGAAUAUUGCGCAAUGGGCGGAAGCCUGAGGCAGCAACGCCGCGUGCGGGAUGACGGCCUUCGGGUUGUAAACCGCUUUCGCAUGUGACGAAGCGUGAGUGACGGUAAUGGGUAAAGAAGCACCGGCUAACUACGUG
rnacentral:rRNA from 1 species